GUUUACUAUGACUUGAGAUAGGACUUCAGGGUCUGAAGACCGUGCUUAAAUUUAAGAACUGACUAUGAAUACGGGCCUGAGUGUCAACUGGUAACUAAACCGCAGCGACAACUGGUGGUGCCGCUAGAAUCGAAAUUUGCACUCGCUAAGCGACACGAAUAAUCGUGGCUUCCAUAGGAGUUUUCAGACCUGUAUACAUAUAAGACCGUGGGCAUGGGGACUACGACAUAGAUAUAUAUAUACAUUCAGUGGUGAAUACCCUUUUUGUUAGAUUUAAGAAGGCGGACGGUGAACCGGUGCAGUCAGUGCGAUCGCCACGUCGUAAUUUGUGAAAGAUCUUUAUGAAGUACAUUUUAUCACUAUUCAAGCCGAGAUCAUGGAGAUUACGACACGGGAACUUUUGUGGGAAGUAUCAAAACUACCUCAGCUUACACAUGUUCGCGUUGACUUAUAUAGAAACUUCUCAAGAAUCCUAAAUAUUGGAACAUCAGCGCUGAUUAGUGGAAUAAUUGGUGCUACAAUCAACCCUAUUGGACUAGUAAUUGGAGCCAUAAUUGGAGGAGGAUCAGCAGCUUACUUUACGAAA